UACAGAGGGGGCAAGCGUUGUUCGGAAUUACUGGGCGUAAAGGGCGCGUAGGCGGCCUUCUAAGUCGAACGUGAAAUCCCCGGGCUCAACCCGGGAACUGCGUCCGAUACUGGAAGGCUUGAAUCCGGGAGAGGGAUGCGGAAUUCCAGGUGUAGCGGUGAAAUGCGUAGAUAUCUGGAGGAACACCGGUGGCGAAGGCGGCAUCCUGGACCGGUAUUGACGCUGAGGCGCGAAAGCCAAGGGAGCAAACGGG
rnacentral:rRNA from 1 species